CGUAGGUAACCUGCCUGGUAGCGGGGGAUAACUAUUGGAAACGAUAGCUAAUACCGCAUAAUAUUAAUUAUUGCAUGAUAAUUGAUUGAAAGGUGCAAUUGCACCACUACCAGAUGGACCUGCGUUGUAUUAGCUAGUAGGUGAGGUAACGGCUCACCUAGGCGACGAUACAUAGCCGACCUGAGAGGGUGAUCGGCCACACUGGGACUGAGACACGGCCCAG
rnacentral:rRNA from 1 species